UUGAUGGGUUCCAGUAUUGUUGACUUUGAGGUAAAACGAAGAAGAAAGUAAAAAUUAGGGUUUUCCAUCCUGAUCGAUUUCUAACUUUUCUCUUUUGAUUCGUGGUGAAAAUGCUGCAAUUCAUGGCUUCCCACAUCGGUGGCUAUUGAAAGCCGUUUAUGUUUUAUAUAGUCUUGCCUCGCAUCAUACAUCGUCCCUUCGGGGACAUCCGAUAAAAUUGGAACGAUACAGAGAAGAUUAGCAUGGCCCCUGCGCAAGGAUGACACGCACAAAUCGAGAAAUGGUCCAAAUUUUUUUUUUUUUGCCCUAAUUCGCUCGAUCGAUUGCUGCAGAUUCAGCGGCGUAUGUCCGAAUUUUUUUUUGCCCCAAUUUGCUAGAUCGAUUCCUGCAGAUUGGGCGGCGUAUUUCACUAGUUUUUUUAAUUCAAUAGCUCCAGAAAGCUUUUUCUUCGAUGAUUGAUGGAAAUAAUGAAGAGAUGUCUACAUCCGAGUUGUAUGGAGGCGCUCGAAUACAUUAUAUUUUCCGGUUAAUAUUCGUUAAAAGUUUAGAGGAGACUGAUCCAUGGAAAGGUGGUAAAUCGGGCUGUCGUUAUGUGUUUUUGCUUAACACAAUACGAUACAAAUUAUUUUUUGUUAACCCGGACACGACGUGAUAGCGUGUUGUUUUUCAUUAACACGAAUACGACUCAAAAAAAAAAAAAAACACGAUAAUACGACAAAAAUAACAAAAACUGACUAUUUGCAUAAUCUCAUACAUAAGUUCUUGUAAAAAAGUUUAUUUAAACACGACAAAAAAUAACAUAAAACAACAUAGUUAACUGCUAAAUACACGUCUUUUGAACACGAACACAAAGUUUUGUGCUAUUAUCGUUUAAAUUUUGAACAUGAAUACAACACGACAUCAGAACCUCAAUACAGAAUGCAAUUGACUCACGAAUUGUAAUGUUUGUGCCUAAUAUUUGACCGAUGAUGACCUUUUUUUUUUCAAAUAUUGAUAUCUGUAUGGACGAUUUUCUUCUUUUUAAUUUGUUAAUUGAUAUAUAAUGGUCUUGUGGUAUGUAUUUUUUUUCAUACGAUUUAGUCCAAAUUUUGAUUUUUUGGAUUUGUGGUCCUUUUAAGCUAGUUUCGUUGCGAAUUUGGUCGCCCAGUAAAGUAAAAUGGUUGUAAUACCCAAAAUGGUUUUAAUACCUUUGAGAUAUUUAUUUUUUA